rnacentral:misc_RNA from 1 species
GAUGAAGAACGUAGCGAAAUGCGAUAAGUAAUGUGAAUUGCAGAAUUCAGUGAAUCAUCGAAUCUUUGAACGCACAUUGCGCCCCUUGGUAUUCCGAGGGGCAUGCCUAUUCGAGCGUCAUUAUCACCCCUCAAGCCUAGCUUGGUGUUGGGGCUUGCUGUAAAGGCAGCCUCUAAAAUCAGUGGCAGUGCUGUCAGGCUCUAAGCGUAGUAAAUUCAUCGCUAUAGGGUCCUGGUGGAUACUCGUCAAAGCCCCCCAUUUUUAAUGAUUGACCUCGGAUUAGGUAGGGAUACCCGCUGAACUUAAGCAUAUCAAUAAGCGGAGGA